UACGGAAGGGCAAGCGUUGUUCGGAAUCAUUGGGCGUAAAGGGCGUGUAGGUGGUUCUGUAUGUCUACCGUGAAAGCGUACGGCUCAACCGUAUUUAGUCGGUAGAAACUGCAGGACUUGAGGCUGGGAGAGGCUGGUGGAAUUCCCCGUGUAGCGGUGAAAUGCGUAGAGAUGGGGAGAACACUCGUGGCGAAGGCGGCCAGCUAGACCAGUUCUGACACUGAGGCGCGAUAGCGUGGGGAGCAAACAGG
rnacentral:rRNA from 1 species